CCCUGGUUAGCUCAUUUGGUAGAGCGCUCCACUUGUAAUGGAGAGGUCCCGGGUUCGAUACCCGGACCAGGCG
rnacentral:tRNA from 1 species